CCUGACUGCUAUCGGAUUGAUACUAAGCCAUGCGAGUCUUUGUAGCGAUACAAGGCAGACGGCUCAGUAACACGUAGUCAAUCUAACCUAUGGACGAGGAUAACCUCGGGAAACUGAGAAUAAUACUCGAUAGAUCAUUAUUCCUGGAACGGUUUAUGGUUCAAAUGAAUUUCGCCAUAGGGUGGGACUGCGGUCUAUCAGCUUGUUGGUGAGGUAAUGGCCCACCAAGGCUAUAACAGAUACGGGCUCUGAGAGGAGAAGCCCGGAGAUGGGUACUGAGACACGGACCCAGGCCCUAUGGGGCGCAGCAGGCGAGAAAACUUUGCAAUGUGCGAAAGCACGACAAGGUUAAUCCGAGUGGUUCCUGCUAAAGGAACCUUUUGUCAGUUAUAAUAUCACUAAUGAAUAAGGGGUGGGCAAGUUCUGGUGUCAGCCGCCGCGGUAAAACCAGCACCUCAAGUGGUCAGGAGGAUUAUUGGGCCUAAAGCAUCCGUAGCCGGCUCUGUUAGUUUUCGGUUAAAUCUAUACGCUCAACGUAUGGGCUGCCGGGAAUACUGCAAAGCUAGGAAGUGGGAGAGGUAGACGGUACUCCGUAGGAAGGGGUAAAAUCCUUUGAUCUAUGGAUGACCACCUGUGGCGAAGGCGGUCUACCAGAACACGUUCGACGGUGAGGGAUGAAAGCUGGGGGAGCAAACCGGAUUAGAUACCCGGGUAGUCCCAGCUGUAAACUAUGCAAACUCAGUGAUGCAUUGGCUUGUGGCCAGUGCAGUGCCGCAGGGAAGCCGUUAAGUUUGCCGCCUGGGAAGUACGUACGCAAGUAUGAAACUUAAAGGAAUUGGCGGGGGAGCACCACAAGGGGUGAAGCCUGCGGUUC
rnacentral:rRNA from 1 species